rnacentral:lncRNA from 1 species
UGAACUAGAUAAACACAGGUACAGAUGGCAAUAUGUAAGAGAAAGAAGAAACGAGAGAAAAACAAGGAACAAACUUAACUCCAUGAGAAAAGAAAUGACGCUUAUAAAAAAAACUAUCACUUGGGCUGAAGAUAACGGGCUAACCUUUACUAGGGAAGAUAAAAGUAAGAAGAUAGUAUUAAUUAGCCAAGACUCAUAUAAUGCAUUCUUACAAGAAUAUAUAGAAGCAUCGAACCUGAUACCAUUGAAAAAAGAUCCAACAUUGCGAAUUGCUGAAAAAGUAAGGAAACUAGUAUCAAAUCAAGCCUUCCCAGAUAUUUGUCAACACUCAAAAAUCCCGGAUCCAG